GGCGGCCCAAGUGGUGGCCACUGUUAUUGGGCCUAAAGCGUCCGUAGCCGGCCCGGUAAGUCUCUGCUUAAAUCCCGCGGCUUAACCGCGGGGCUGGCAGAGAUACUGCCGGGCUUGGGACCGGGAGAGGCCGGGGGGUACCCCAGGGGUAGCGGUGAAAUGCGUUGAUCCCUGGGGGACCACCUGUGGCGAAGGCGCCCGGCUGGAACGGGUCCGACGGUGAGGGACGAAGGCCGGGGGAGCAAACCGG
rnacentral:rRNA from 1 species